GAAAUGGAAGUUACCAUCGCGGUUUCAUUAAAACGGAAUUGUUUUCCUUUUAGUCUUUCUGACUGGCUAUGAACUCUUUUCCUACGUCCACUUAAAAGACCAUGGGAGAGCUCUGACUGGCACAUUAUCAGAAGAGCAGAAAAUGCAACAGAUUGAAGCCCCCAAAUCCUCCUGCUUCAAGGCUCCCCACAAAGCAGAUGAUUGCUUGAAAGAUUUCCCUGAGAUUUUAGAUAUAGGAAGUUUACUUGGGGUUAUCAUGAGUCCAAACCAGUAUCCAAAUCAUUCAAUGAGGUGUAUGGUCUUGGCCUAACUUGAUUGAUUCCCUGGACACCAGGUAGAUUAUGGGUCUACAAAAAAAUAUGAAGGAGCCAAGUAAUGGGUGUCAAUUUAAAGUUUCAAAAAAAUGUGGAGAUAAAUCUCUUUGCGAUCACUCUCCAUAUAUUGGAUAGACUUCUUUCUGAGAUAGCUUCUUUUUGGUAAAAGCUAAAGAUAAUGGAAUUUGGCUAAUGCCUGCAUUCAGAACUUCCUCCAAGAUUCCCUACUUGUAAACUUUGUCACAGGUGAGGUCUAAUCAGAUGUUGGUGUGGUGUCAGAAGUGACAACAACUCCAUUGGAGUUGAGUUCAGAGAACCUUCUUGUCUCACUGGAGAUAAAUUUCAAAAGGCAGUGAUGGAAGUGAUAAUGCAUGUACAUUUGUACAUUUUCUGCCUGGGAAGAAUGAUAGGCUAGUGCCCAAUUCAUUUGUACUACCAGUGGCUUCUUUACUCCUGUCAAUGUCUUCAUUCUUGGAGCCAGAACUGAUAGUUACUAUGAGUAUCUGCGAAAGCAGUAGAUCCAAGUAAGAAGAAAAAAUUUCAGUUGUUAGAAGACUAUGUUGAAAUCACAGAAGGAAUACAAAACCACUUGCUUCAGCAGUCUGAGCCCAACAAAUUGACUUUCAUGGGGGAAGCUGUCAAUGGCAAAUUUGGAACCAAGGUAGAUUGCUUAGUGUGUUUUUUGCCUGAGACUCUGGCUUGGGUGUUCCCUAUGGAUGGCCCAAUGACCAUGUGGAAUUAAAGCUUUUAGGAAGAUGUGUUACCAGUGGUAUUAUUACUUUAAGACUGGACUGAGCCUAAAAGUUUUAUUUCAAUGUUAACUCCAAAGAUAGCCAUAGGGAUGUAGGAGUCUGGCUUGAAGACAGUCUCAGUCUGCUAUGCCCAGAAACAAUGGAAUGCCUGUUAUAUCUGUACCAGUUCAACUGGGACAGAAAUUGCCGAGAUAGGGGAUAGGAGAUCCUGCAGUGCUUCAACAAGUAUACCUCCAUCCGUUCAGAUGACUGCCCUUCCAUUGAUAAUCUUCAUAAUCCAAAUCAAGAGACCAGAUGGAAAAUUUCUUUGGGGGAGAAACUCUGAAGUAUGUUUAUCUUCUCUUUUCUAAUGACAUGGAUCUCUUUAACCUUGAAAAAUAUG
rnacentral:lncRNA from 1 species